rnacentral:rRNA from 1 species
UUGACGGGACCCGCACAAGCGUGGAUGAUGUGGAUUAAUUCGAUGCAACGCGAAAACCUUACCUACCCUUGACAUGCCAGGAACCCUGCUGAGAGGUGGGGGUGGCUCGAAAGAGAGCCUGGACACAGGUGCUGCAUGGCUGUCGUCAGCUCGUGUCGUGAGAUGUUGGGUUAAGUCCCGCAACGAGCGCAACCCUUGUCAUUAGUUGCCAUCAUUCAGUUGGGCACUCUAAUGAGACUGCCGGUGACAAACCGGAGGAAGGUGGGGAUGACGUCAAGUCCUCAUGGCCCUUAUGGGUAGGGCUUCACACGUCAUACAAUGGUCGGUACAGAGGGUUGCCAACCCGCGAGGGGGAGCCAAUCCCAUAAAGCCAGUCGUAGUCCGGAUCGUAGUCUGCAACUCGACUACGUGAAGUCGGAAUCGCUAGUAAUCGUGGAUCAGAAUGUCACGGUGAAUACGUUCCCGGGUCUU